rnacentral:sRNA from 1 species
AUACAAAUAGUAUACCGAGGGUCUCGAGCAAGUGUUUGUCGUGGGUGGGUCACGACGAACGGUUAUAGGUGGCUGCCAACCACACUAUAACACGCUU